rnacentral:rRNA from 1 species
UGCAGUCGCACGAUGACCUCCAGCUUGCUGGGGUGAUUAGUGGCGAACGGGUGAGUAACACGUGAGUAACCUGCCCUUAACUCUGGGAUAAGCCUGGGAAACUGGGUCUAAUACCGGAUAUGACUCCUCAUCGCAUGGUGGGGGGUGGAAAGCUUUUUGUGGUUUUGGAUGGACUCGCGGCCUAUCAGCUUGUUGGUGAGGUAAUGGCUCACCAAGGCGACGACGGGUAGCCGGCCUGAGAGGGUGACCGGCCACACUGGGACUGAGACACGGCCCAGACUCCUACGGGAGGCAGCAGUGGGGAAUAUUGCACAAUGGGCGAAAGCCUGAUGCAGCGACGCCGCGUGAGGGAUGACGGCCUUCGGGUUGUAAACCUCUUUCAGUAGGGAAGAAGCGAAAGUGACGGUACCUGCAGAAGAAGCGCCGGCUAACUACGUGCCAGCAGCCGCGGUAAUACGUAGGGCGCAAGCGUUAUCCGGAAUUAUUGGGCGUAAAGAGCUCGUAGGCGGUUUGUCGCGUCUGCCGUGAAAGUCCGGGGCUCAACUCCGGAUCUGCGGUGGGUACGGGCAGACUAGAGUGAUGUAGGGGAGACUGGAAUUCCUGGUGUACCGGUGAAAUGCGCAGAUAUCAGGAGGAACACCGAUGGCGAAGGCAGGUCUCUGGGCAUUAACUGACGCUGAGGAGCGAAAGCAUGGGGAGCGAACAGGAUUAGAUACCCUGGUAGUCCAUGCCGUAAACGUUGGGCACUAGGUGUGGGGGACAUUCCACGUUUUCCGCGCCGUAGCUAACGCAUUAAGUGCCCCGCCUGGGGAGUACGGCCGCAAGGCUAAAACUCAAAGGAAUUGACGGGGGCCCG